GAGCAAUGAUGUUUCUAGAAUUUCUUCACCUGAAUGCAACCGUGUGGCACUUAGAGCUUUUUAACCCUGAGCAGC